rnacentral:rRNA from 1 species
GACGAACCGUGCGAACGUUAUUCGGAAUCACUGGGCUUAAAGCGCGUGUAGGCGGAUGGGUACGUCGGUCGCUGAAAUCCCCCGGCUCAACCGGGGAACGGGCGCCGAAACGACCCGUCUGGAGGGACGUAGGGGGACCUGGAACUUCCGGUGGAGCGGUGAAAUGCGUUGAGAUCGGAAGGAACGCCCGUGGCGAAAGCGAGGUCCUGGACGUCUACUGACGCUGAGACGCGAAAGCUAGGGUAGCGAACGGG